GGAAUCAUGGGUGUUGUGCAAGGUCUUUAGCCUUCUCUGCUAAAAAGUGCUGUUGCCUCACCAAACUACCUCUCCCAGGAUUCUGCAGCAUUGAGCCAUGGCAGUUAAAGUGGGAUCAAGCUGCAUUCAGUCAACAGUGUAGAUCAGACAUGAACAAACUUCGGCCCUCCAGGUGUUUUGGACUUCAACCGGUAGGCUGUUAGGAAUUCUGGGAGUUGAAGUCCAAAACACCUGGAGGGCCGAAGUUUGCCCAUGCCUGGUGUAGAUGAACCCUUGGCGAGAGUCAGGUGCCCCAUGCCUCAAUGCUAUGGAAUCAUGGGCGUUUGAGACGUGAAGAUAUACGCCCCCACUUUUUAAUUAAAGAAAGAGAGCGACAAGGGAAAGCAGAGGCUGGAGGAGGAAGAGAGAGGACAAAAGAAAGGGACGGAGAAGCCCGAGGAGAUGGAGAAGACUCGACUUGAAGCCGCUUUGGCAAACAGGGAGAAAGACAAGACAAUGGCCCAGUUCCUGCCUGCUCCCGAAAAGGACGAGGCCUGGGUGAGUGGGGGAAGAGGCAGCCGAGCCUCUUUCCGACCCAGCAACGGUUCCUAUGACGGGGUUGGGGGUGGCGAGGGCGGCUGUUGCCCCCCCCCCCCAAUCUCCAAUACCACCCAAGACGUUAUUCAGGGCGAACAAUCCCCAUUAUCUGUCCCCACUUUGGCUUAAUCAGACAGAACCUGGAAUAGCAGAGGCUGCUUCCUGCUGGCUUUGGGGGGUGAGGAUUCUCUGGGGGAGAGGGAGGGGGUCUGAGGUGGGUGCGUGCGGAGGGGGGUGGGUGGGAGCGAGGGAGCCCUCUCUCCCAUUAGCCCUUUGGCACUUGACUCACUCGGGAGGGUGGGAGAGGAGAGCAGCGCUUGUGUGGACGGUGGGCCGGACGGCCAAUAUAAACAGUAGCCAAGCGGGCAUGAGCCAGCCCCGGCCUGGUCGCCUUCCCUGCCAGGCCCCCGGCGUCGCCCCCAUGGCAGGCAGGAUCAGCUUCACCGUCCGGAGCCUCUUGGAUUUACCCGAGAACGAGGGCGAAGGAAGCAGCGGCCAAAGCAGGAGAGACGCUGAGCCCAUGGAAAGGGGAUACAGAGGCGGAUCCCUCUUCGGGGAGUGGAUGGAGACCGACCGGAGCCAUUAUUUGUCUUCGGAUGAGAGCUGCAGCGAGAGCAGGACUCACCCUGCGGCGAUGGCUCCCAGCGGAGGAAGGAAGAGGAGGAAGAAG
rnacentral:lncRNA from 1 species